GCUUCUCCCUUUGGCUCAAGUGUAAGUUAUCUGUUCUUAUCAGUUUAAUAUCUGAUACGUCCCCUAUCUGGGGACCAUAUAUUAAAUGGAUUUUUGGAACAGGGAGAUGGAAGAAGAGCUUGCUCUGUCCACUCCACGCAUCGACCUGGUAUUGCAGUACCUCCAGGACCGGUGCACCUCUC
rnacentral:snRNA from 1 species